rnacentral:rRNA from 1 species
UAAUCCUACGGGGCGCAGCAGUGGGGAAUAUUGCACAAUGGGGGAAACCCUGAUGCAGCGACGCCGCGUGAGUGAAGAAGUAUUUCGGUAUGUAAAGCUCUGUCAGCAGGGAAGAAAAUGACGGUACCUGACCAAGAAGCCCCGGCUAACUACGUGCCAGCAGCCGCGGUAAUACGUAGGGGGCAAGCGUUAUCCGGAUUUACUGGGUGUAAAGGGGGCGCAGACGGCAAUGCAAGCCAGGAGUGAAAGCCCGGGGCCCAACCCCGGGACUGCUCUUGGAACUGCAUGGCCGGAGUACAGGGGGG